rnacentral:rRNA from 1 species
CCCUUAGAUGUUCUGGGCGGCCCGCGCACUACAAUGGCGUGUGCAGCGAGUGCCGAAGUAGAGUUUUCCGAGGUAUUCUUGCAAUGCUCGUUUUGAUGGGGAUAGACCCUUGCAACUGUUGGUUUUGAACGAGGAAUUCCUUGUCAGCAUGGUUUAUCAUCCGACGCUGAAUGCGUCCCUGCCCUUUGUACACACCGCCCGUCGCUCCUACCGAUGAGUCGUCCGGUGAAGUUCGUAGACCUCGUGAUCGCGGAUCACUGGGGGAAGCAAAAUGAACCUCGCGGUUUAGAGGAAGGAGAAGUCGUAACA